rnacentral:rRNA from 1 species
ACGUACGCUGGCGGCACGCCUAACACAUGCAAGUCGAACGAAGUAGCAAUACUUAGUGGCAGACGGGUGAGUAACAUGUAGGUAUCUGCCCUUUGGCCUGGAAUAACACGAGGAAACUUGUGCUAAUACCGGAUAAGUCUUUACGGAGAAAGCUUUAUGCACCAUUGGAUGAGCCUGCACUUGAUUAGUUUGUUGGUGGGGUAAUGGCCUACCAAGUCUACGAUCAGUAGCUGGUCUGAGAGGAUGAUCAGCCACACUGGGACUGAGACACGGCCCAGACUCCUACGGGAGGCAGCAGUGGGGAAUCUUGC